rnacentral:rRNA from 1 species
UAGUCCACGCCGUAAACGAUGGAUACUAGUUGUUGGGUUUCGACUCAGUGACUAAGCGAAAGUGAUAAGUAUCCCACCUGGGGAGUACGGUCGCAAGACUGAAACUCAAAGGAAUUGACGGGGGCCCGCACAAGCGGUGGAGCAUGUGGUUUAAUUCGAUGAUACGCGAGGAACCUUACCAGGGCUUAAAUGUGGUCUGACAGCUUUAGAGAUAGAGUUUUCUUCGGACAGAUCACAAGGUGCUGCAUGGUUGUCGUCAGCUCGUGCCGUGAGGUGUCAGGUUAAGUCCUAUAACGAGCGCAACCCCUAUCGUUAGUUGCUAACAAGUAAUGUUGAGGACUCUAGCGAGACUGCCGGUGCAAACCGCGAGGAAGGUGGGGAUGACGUCAAAUCAUCACGGCCCUUACGUCCUGGGCUACACACGUGCUACAAUGGUAUGGACAAUGAGCAGCCAUCUGGCAACAGAGAGCGAAUCUAUAAACCAUAUCACAGUUCGGA